CACGCAGGCGGUUUUGUCAGUCAGAUGUGAAAGCCCGGGGCUCAACCCCGGACGUGCAUUUGAAACAGCAAAACUUGGGUAUGGGAGAGGGAAGUGGAAUUCCUGGUGUAGCGGUGAAAUGCGUAGAUAUCAGGAGGAACACCGGUGGCGAAGGCGACUUCCUGGACCAAUACUGACGCUGAGGCGCGAAGGCGUGGGGAGCAAACAGGAUUAGAUACCCUGGUAGUCC
rnacentral:rRNA from 1 species